rnacentral:rRNA from 1 species
GGGGUGCUUGAGUGGCGAACGGGUGAGUAACACGUGAGUAACCUGCCCUUGACUUUGGGAUAACUUCAGGAAACUGGGGCUAAUACCGGAUAGGAGCUCCUGCUGCAUGGUGGGGGUUGGAAAGUUUCGGCGGUUGGGGAUGGACUCGCGGCUUAUCAGCUUGUUGGUGGGGUAGUGGCUUACCAAGGCUUUGACGGGUAGCCGGCCUGAGAGGGUGACCGGCCACAUUGGGACUGAGAUACGGCCCAG